AAAGCUAAUUCCAUAAAUGUCCUUUUGCAUGCACUUCUAUUCUAAAGGGAUGUUAUUUAUUUAAUUCAGGUCUGUUUUGAUUGGGAGUAUUGGCAGGUGAAGGGUUACAAUCCACCCCAUGGAAUAGAAUACCCACAUUGAAGACAUCCUGAAUGCACUAAGAUGUCAAAAUCACGACAUGCCUGGAGAGACGCAGGUCUCUUCUUUCUACUGACCAUUCCCACAGCACUCUUCACAAGGACCAGAGGAAUGUGAACACUGAAAUUUGUCUUUUUCUGGGUUUUCGAGUCACAUACUCCUUGAAGAAAUCUAAAGUUUACAAGGUCACUUAAGGAAACCGCUGGAAAUUAUUCUAACCAACCCCCUGGGUCUGGGCCUGCUAUUUUCUUGAAAGCCUUUAUCUGGAAAGCUGCAGUGGAAAAAUUCCCCCACACUUGAGUCUGAUUGUACAGCAUUUCGCCAGAGUCACGCUGUGGGAAGACAGUGAAUAAACACAAACCAGACUGCAAAUGAGAUGCAAACAAUUUGGGCAAAAAGUCACUGGGCCAUCCACGGAGAAGUGGCUUCCCACUGAAAAACACACGGUUCUUUUUUCUGCCCCAUAAAGAGCCUUUGUUGAGAACUCCUCCUCCUCUCUUCCCCCCACACUCCUAAACAAGUUCGUGGUUCCACAGCUCUGAAAGCCAAGUCUCUUACCUGUAGCAAGCCUGCCUAAGUUUGGUGCCAAGGACGUUUCAGCCACAGUCUGGUCUUGUUAGAAUGAUCUGGUUUGCUUUUCGGCAAGAAAAAAAAGACUGUAUCGAUCCCUUGGGCUCCCCAAAUCUUUCCUUCCCUCCUGGCUCUCCAUUUCUAUUGAUAUCACUGCCACAAGACCAUAAGGACACAGAUUUGGAGUUGGAAAAUACCUUAGAAAUCAUCUAAUCCAGUAUCUUCAUUUUAUAGACGAGGAAACUGAGACCCUGAAAGGAAAUGACUUGCCUAAGAUCAUACAGCUAAUAAGGAAUAAAGAUGGGACUUGAAUCUAAUCCAGAAUCUUUCCACUAGGGCCUCUCAAGUUUACAUGUGUUACCAUGGUUAGGUCUAGAAGAGACUCUCAAGUUCAUCUAAGCCCAGCCCCCUGACUUUCCCAAUGAGGAAACUGAGGCCCAGGAUAUAUUUUAUAGUGGAAAAAGUCCAGAGUUGGAUGACCUCUUGAGGCUGGACACACCCAUGACUUUCUGGGCUUCCAUUUCCCCAUCUAUGGAAUGAGGAGCAUAGCUAGAAGACUGCUUUCUUUCAUCUCUAAAGUUACAAUCUUAACAUUGAGCUGGCUAAGCAAACAAGUGACAAAGUCUGCACCUGAACCCAGGCUCCCAGGGCAUCUCAGCCACCACUCAGUCUGCAAGCAGAAUGGAUGGAAGGUCUAAACACAGAGAAGUCCACGCAAUUACCUGCUAACUUGAUUUGGAGUUGUCUACACAUGUCUGCAGGCUGAAGUUACAUGGUGAGCUACAUUCAACAGCACAACAAAAUAGAGAGGAGCUAACUGUUUGUUAUAGGGAGGGGCCUGCUAAAUUCCAUAUAUACCUGUAUAUGUAUAGAUACAUACACAUAUGACGACAUGCAUAUAUUGUUAUGUUCUGCUGCUGUUCAGUUUUCUUUCAGUUGCGUCUGACUCUUCAUGACCCCAUUUGGGGUUUUCUUGGCAAAGAUACUGGA